rnacentral:rRNA from 1 species
AAUGGGGGCAACCCUGAUCCAGCCAUGCCGCGUGAGUGAUGAAGGCCUUAGGGUCGUAAAGCUCUUUCGCCUGUGAAGAUAAUGACGGUAGCAGGUAAAGAAACCCCGGCUAACUCCGUGCAGCAGCCGCGGUAAUACGGAGGGGGUUAGCGUUGUUCGGAAUUACUGGGCGUAAAGCGCACGUAGGCGGACUGGAAAGUUGGGGGUGAAAUCCCAGGGCUCAACCCUGGAACUGCCUCCAAAACUAUCAGUCUAGAGUUCGAGAGAGGUGAGUGGAAUUCCGAGUGUAGAGGUGAAAUUCGUAGAUAUUCGGAGGAACACCAGUGGCGAAGGCGGCUCACUGGCUCGAUACUGACGCUGAGGUGCGAAAGUGUGGGGAGCAAACAGGAUU